rnacentral:rRNA from 1 species
GUUUGAUCCUGGCUCAGGACUAACGCUGGCGGCGUGCCUAACACAUGCAAGUCGAACGAAGCAGCAAUGCUUAGUGGCAGACGGGUGAGUAACGCGUAGAUAAUGUGCCCUCUUGCGGGGGAUACCGUUUCGAAAGGAACGUUAAUACCGCAUAAAGCCCCUGGGAGGCAUCUCCCGGGGACCAAACUUCCGGGGCGGGAGGAGCAAUCUGCGUACUAUCAGGUAGUUGGUGAGGUAAUGGCUCACCAAGCCUACGACGGUUAACUGGUCUGAGAGGAUGAUCAGUCACACUGGAACUGAGACACGGUCCAGACUCCUACGGGAGGCAGCAGUGAGGAAUAUUGCGCAAUGGGCGAAAGCCUGACGCAGCGACGCCGCGUGGAGGAUGAAGGAUUUCGGUCUGUAAACUCCUGUCAGUAGGGAAGAGAAUGGACGGUACCUACUGAGGAAGCUUCGGCUAACUACGUGCCAGCAGCCGCGGUAAGACGUAGGAAGCAAGCGUUGUCCGGAAUUACUGGGCGUAAAGAGCUCGUAGGCGGGAUCGUAAGUCUUAGAGUAAAUCUCACGGCUCAACCGUGGGGCCUUCUGAGAUACUGCGAUUCUUGAGGAUGUCAGAGGAAAGUAGAAUUCCCGGUGUAGCGGUGAAAUGCGUAGAUAUCGGGAGGAAGGCC